AGCUCGCCUACAUGAAGCUGGAAUUGCUAGUAAUCACAGGUCAGCAUACUGUGGUGAAUACGUUCCCGGGCCUUGUACACACCGCCCGUCACACCAUGAGAGUUGAGAAUACCCGAAGCCCAUGUCAAAGUGGUCGAAGGUAGGCUUGAUGAUUGGGGUGAAGUCGUAACAAGGUACC
rnacentral:rRNA from 1 species